rnacentral:misc_RNA from 1 species
GAUGAAGAACGCAGCGAAAUGCGAUAAGUAGUGUGAAUUGCAGAAUUCCGUGAAUCAUCGAAUCUUUGAACGCACAUUGCGCCUUCUGGUAUUCCGGAAGGCAUGCCUGUUCGAGAGUCAUUAACAACCGUUUCGAUCCCUUUCUUUCAGAAAUUACAAAGAGGAAAAGGGUUUGGUUAUGGUGGUGGAGGGAAAGGGAGCGUUUAGCCUGUAAAAAAAGAGGCUGUGUUCCGCCUCCCCCCCAAAAUUGUACAGGCGGUCGUGUGCGCCCACGCAUCGAGGUGUUGUAAAAGCUGCCACGGCACUUUUCACCUGUGCAGUGCGAGAUUGGCCAGCCGGUUUAAAAACCCCUCCAAACAAUCAAAGGUUGACCUCGGAUCAGGUAGGGAUACCCGCUGAACUUAAGCAUAUCAAUAAGCGGAGGA